GGGGUUGUGGAUCAGUGGUAGAGCGCUUGCCUGCCAGGUGUGAGGCACUGAGUUCGAUUCUCAGCACCACA
rnacentral:tRNA from 1 species